ACAGUCCAGAUCGACAGGCGCACCCAGAACCCUUUGUGAACUUAUACCUUACUGUUGCCUCGGCGCAUGCCGGCCCCCCUGGGGGCCCCUCCUCCUGGAGGAGCAGGCACGCCGGCGGCCAACCUAACUCUUGUUUUUACACUGAAACUCUGAGAAUAAAACAUAAAUGAAUCAAAACUUUCAACAACGGAUCUCUUGGUUCUGGCAUCGAUGAAGAACGCAGCGAAAUGCGAUAAGUAAUGUGAAUUGCAGAAUUCAGUGAAUCAUCGAAUCUUUGAACGCACAUUGCGCCCUCUGGUAUUCCGGAGGGCAUGCCUGUUCGAGCGUCAUUUCAACCCUCAAGCCUGGCUUGGUGAUGGGGCACUGCUUCUUACCCAAGAAGCAGGCCCUGAAAUUCAGUGGCGAGCUCGCCAGGACCCCGAGCGCAGUAGUUAAACCCUCGCUCUGGAAGGCCCUGGCGGUGCCCUGCCGUUAAACCCCCAACUUCUGAAAAUUUGACCUCGGAUCAGGUAGGAAUACCCGCUGAACUUAAGCAUAUCAUAAGGGGGGAGAAA
rnacentral:rRNA from 1 species